UACAGGGGGUGCAAACGUUGCUCGGAAUCAUUGGGCGUAAAGAGCUCGUAGGCGGUGUGUCGCGUCGGCCGUGAAAACCUGCAGCUUAACUGUGGGCUUGCGGUCGAUACGGGCAUCACUGGAGUUCGGCAGGGGAGACUGGAAUUCCUGGUGUAGCGGUGAAAUGCGCAGAUAUCAGGAGGAACACCGGUGGCGAAGGCGGGUCUCUGGGCCGAUACUGACGCUGAGGCACGAAGGCCAGGGGAGCAAACGGG
rnacentral:rRNA from 1 species